UUGCUGGUGCAUUUCUGUUGAUGGUUGGUGUAAAGGGAUUGAUGAAUUGUGCAUGCCAACAGAUGAUGGACUAGAAGUAAGGCUUGUGACCAUAGAUUUGGGUGGUGCAGCACAACGUUUAAAGGCAACCGUCAAAAUGAAGACAGCUUGGCAGUGAUGUGAUGUGCAUGGAGGAAAGAAACCAGACACGUCAGCCGUGCCAGUUCCUUCACCGGGCAUUGAAAACUGUCUGAUGAGUUGCCAUUUUAACCUCAUCACCGUGCAUCCAAAGUGCAAAACCUAUGCCAAAGUCUGUACUUCAAGGGUCAGGGGGAAACCUGGAGCCUAUCCGAGGGAGCGUCGGGCACAAGGCGGGGUACACCCUGGACAGGGUGCCAAUCCAUCGCAGGGCACAAUCACAUACACACUCACACACCCAUUCAUACACUACGGACACUUUGGACACACCAAUCAGCCUACCAUGCAUGUCUUUGGACUGGGGGAGGAAACCCCCGCAGCACGGGGAGAACAUGCAGAGCCACGGUGGGAAUCAAACCCCCGACCCUGGAGGAGUGAGGCGAACGCGCUAACCACUAAGCCACC
ensembl:lncRNA